GAGUAAAAUGAUGGCACUCACCUUUUGGGACUGACCUGAAAUGAAAAGAAUACUCAUUC
rnacentral:snoRNA from 1 species